UCGAACGAGCAUUAUUACUUCGGUUUGAUAUGCUGAGUGGCGGACGGGUGAGUAACGCGUGGGUACCUGCCUUGUACUGGGGGAUAGCAGCUGGAAACGGCUGGUAAUACCGCAUAAGGUUGCAUGACAAAAACUCCGGUGGUAUAAGAUGGACCCGCGUCUGAUUAGCUAGUUGGUGAGAUAACAGCCCACCAAGGCGACGAUCAGUAGCCGACCUGAGAGGGUGACCGGCCACAUUGGGACUGAGACACGGCCCAGACUCCUACGGGAGGCAGCAGUGGGGAAUAUUGCACAAUGGAGGAAACUCUGAUGCAGCGACGCCGCGUGAGUGAAGAAGUAAUUCGUUAUGUAAAGCUCUAUCAGCAGGGAAGAUAGUGACGGUACCUGACUAAGAAGCUCCGGCUAAAUACGUGCCAGCAGCCGCGGUAAUACGUAUGGAGCAAGCGUUAUCCGGAUUUACUGGGUGUAAAGGGAGUGUAGGUGGCCAUGCAAGUCAGAAGUGAAAAUCCGGGGCUCAACCCCGGAACUGCUUUUGAAACUGUAAGGCUAGAGUGCAGGAGGGGUGAGUGGAAUUCCUAGUGUAGCGGUGAAAUGCGUAGAU
rnacentral:rRNA from 1 species